GUAGAAUAACCAGGUUAACUCACAAUAUUUAUUACUGUUUUAUUAUAUGUGUGUGUAUUAUUUUAGUAUAGUAAGCCUUUGUGUAUACCCUAUAUGUAGUAUGACAAUUCGUUAGACCACCUGGAAGACCAGCGCUGAUCAUAUCACCUGUGGGAGUUAUCAGUAUUAUGCUGAGUAUCAACCUUGUCUCUGAUCCAUAUUCCCGCGUUUGCUACAAUAUUUACUGUUACCGUGAUUCGUAAACCUGCCUUGAAAACGUAAAAGAACUGAUAUAGUGAACUAAAGAAAACUUGAAUAUGAUGGAUGCACGGAACGCAAGCCAAAAACUCCUUGAUAGGAGUAGAAAAAAAAGCAACAAAUUUUAAUGCGAAAUAGACGGAGUGAUUUAGAAUUGAGAAAUAAGUAACCCAAAUAAAUGGCUAAGCUAUGGACACACCUAAUAAGGAAACUGGCAAGAUCUUGAUGUGAUGGGAAGUGGUAGGUAAGCCGCUCAUGGACAUCCGCAACACGAGAGGUCAAGAGAUGCUUUGCCGGCCUUUAAGUUAUACUCUAUGAUAAUUUGUAAUUGAAAUAUUUGUAAAUUUCAUUGAAAAUAAGAACCAGGGGUUAAUGGCGUUCA